AAGCCGUAACAAGGUUUCCGUAGGUGAACCUGCGGAAGGAUCAUUAAAAGAAUCUGUACCGAGCUUUAUCGUAAGCCCAGAGCUACAAUUCUAACACAUUCUGCGUAUCAUUCCUGUUGCUUCCGUGGGGUGGAGUCCGAGCAUGUCUCGGAUUGCUCUGACUAGCCAGUUGGCUGGUCCCCGCGGGAGGUAUCCUACAAACCACUUGCAUUUAUUUUUGCCUUCUGUCUGAAUAAUGUUAUAACAAUUGUUAAA
rnacentral:misc_RNA from 1 species